UGCAGUCGAACGGCAGCACAGAGGAGCUUGCUCCUUGGGUGGCGAGUGGCGGACGGGUGAGGAAAACGUCGGAAUCUGCCUAUUUGUGGGGGAUAACGUAGGGAAACUUACGCUAAUACCGCAUACGACCUACGGGUGAAAGCGGAGGACCUUCGGGCUUCGCGCAGAUAGAUGAGCCGACGUCGGAUUAGCUAGUUGGGGGGGUAAAGGCCCACCAAGGCGACGAUCCGUAGCUGGUCUGAGAGGAUGAUCAGCCACACUGGAACUGAGACACGGUCCAGACUCCUACGGGAGGCAGCAGUGGGGAAUAUUGGACAAUGGGCGCAAGCCUGAUCCAGCCAUGCCGCGUGUGUGAAGAAGGCCUUCGGGUUGUAAAGCACUUUUGUCCGGAAAGAAAAGCACUGGGUUAAUACCCUGGUGUCAUGACGGUACCGGAAGAAUAAGCACCGGCUAACUUCGUGCCAGCAGCCGCGGUAAUACGAAGGGUGCAAGCGUUACUCGGAAUUACUGGGCGUAAAGCGUGCGUAGGCGGUUUGUUAAGUCUGAUGUGAAAGCCCUGGGCUCAACCUGGGAAUGGCAUUGGAUACUGGCAAUCUAGAAUGUGGUAGAGGGUGGCGGAAUUCCCGGUGUAGCAGUGAAAUGCGUAGAUAUCGGGAGGAACAUCCGUGGCGAAGGCGGCCACCUGGACCAACAUUGACGCUGAG
rnacentral:rRNA from 1 species